rfam:Schistosoma curassoni strain Dakar, Senegal genome assembly, scaffold: SCTD_scaffold0000310
AUUCAGUUGACGAGUCCUAAAUAAGACGAAAUGCGCGUCAAACUAGAU